CGUCAUAGAGGGUGAGAAUCCAGUAUGUGAUCGGUCGCUUGCGCCCAUGUGAAGCUCUUUCGACGAGUCGAGUUGUUUGGGAAUGCAGCUCCAAAUGGGUGGUAUAUUUCAUCUAAAGCUAAAUAUUGGCCAGAGACCGAUAGCGCACAAGUAGAGUGAUCGAAAGAUGAAAAGCACUUUGGAAAGAGAGUUAAACAGUACGUGAAAUUGUUGAAAGGGAAGCGCUUGCAACCAGACUUGCGUGUUGUUGAUCAUCCGGGGUUCUCCCCGGUGCACUCGACCUCACUCAGGCCAGCAUCGGUUUCGGUGGUUGGAUAAAGGCCUUGGGAAUGUAGCUCCUCUCGGGGAGUGUUAUAGCCCUCGGUGCAAUGCAGCCUACCGGGACCGAGGACCGCGCUUCGGCUAGGAUGCUGGCGUAAUGGUUGUAAGCGACCCGUCUUGAAACACGGACCAAGGAGUCUAACAUCUAUGCGAGUGUUUGGGUGUCAAACCCAUACGCGUAAUGAAAGUGAACGGAGGUGAGAACCCUUAAGGGUGCAUCAUCGACCGAUCCUGAUGUCUUCGGAUGGAUUUGAGUAAGAGCAUAGCUGUUGGGACCCGAAAGAUGGUGAACUAUGCCUGAAUAGGGUGAAGCCAGAGGAAACUCUGGUGGAGGCUCGCAGCGGUUCUGAC
rnacentral:rRNA from 1 species